UACGAGGGGGGCUAGUGUUGUUCGGAAUCACUGGGCGUAAAGGGAGCGUAGGCGGGAGCCUAAGUUGGGUGUUUAAUUCCGGGGCCCAACCCCGGGCGUGCACUCAAAACUGGGUUUCUUGAAUAGGGGAGAGGUCGGUGGAAUUGGAGGUGUAGCGGUGGAAUGCGUAGAGAUCUCCAAGAACACCCGUUGCGAAGGCGGCCGACUGGACCCAUAUUGACGCUGAGGCUCGAAAGCGUGGGGAGCAAACGGG
rnacentral:rRNA from 1 species